rnacentral:rRNA from 1 species
AUAUAGAUGAGUUUAGUAAUAGCUCUAAAUAAACAUUGUCUAAAUACUUAAUACAUACUAAUCGAACGUUUAAUUUAAUUAAUUAAAAGUGGUAUAUAGGUAAGUAUUAGAUUUUUGACUAGCUUUAAAGAGAAGGUAAUAAAUCCUUUAUAAAAAAAAAUAAAAGGGGAAACCGCUUUAAGAGGAAAAGAAAUAUCGUAGAGAUAAGUAGUUGUUAAGGUAAUAGCUUAAUAAGCCUACAAUUCUCUUAGUCGAAGCUGAAACGGUUGAUCGACUACAUUAGGGAUGAAAAAAUCCUAAAACAAGUAAGUAUAGUAGUAAAGAAUUUUGGUCAAUAGCCUAACGGCUAAACUAGUAAGUUGGAGGAACGUUAUAAAUCGUUUUAUCGAAUAAAGUUCUAUAUAUAUAUUUAUAAUAACAAUAUAUACAUUUGUCUUAACUAAUUACGUACUAAUAGUCGCGGUAAUACGUAAGAGACUAGUGUUAUUCAUCUUAAAUAGGUUUAAAGGGUACUUAGGCAGAAAAAUUAGCUUUAACAAGGUAUAAUUUUUCUAGAGUUUUAUAAGAGAAGGUAGUACUUAUAAGUAGAGAGAUAAGAUUUGUUAAUACCUAAGGGGACUAGUAAAGGCGAAGGUAACCUUUUAUAUAAAAACUAACGCUAAAGGAUAAAGGCACAGGGUACAAAUAGGAUUAGAUACCCUAAUAGUCUUUGCAGAGAAUUAUAAAUACUAUAGAUUAGAUUGACCGUUUAAUUAGAUAGUUUAUAAAUAAGAUUUUUAACUAUAUUUAUAUUAGUAACUAAAUUAUUUGUAAAACUAUUUAAAAGGUAAGAUUAUAUAUUUAUAAUCUUUAUAUUUGGUUUAUAAACGAAAAUGUAAGCAUUUUAUCUUAAGAGUAAUAUAGCAACGUAGGAACUAAAAUCACUAGGCCGUUUCUAACCUUAGUAGUAAAGUAUAUUAUUUAAUUCGAUAAUCUACGAAAAACCUUAUUACAAUUUGAAUAUUAAUAAAGCUAUAAUUUAUUAAUACAAGCGUUGCACGGCUAUCUUCAGUUAAUAUUGUGAAACUAUAGUUCGGUCUAUAAAAUUAACGGAAACCUUUACUUUAUUUAUAAUAUUAAUUAAUAAAGUAAUUCGCAUUUAUAAUGUUAUAUGAUAGAAGAGACUAAGACAAGUUAUCAUAGCCUUUAUAUUGUAGGCUAUAGACGUACUACAUUUUUCUAAACAAAGAGAUACAAAAAUAUGAAUUUGAGCUAACCUUAAAAAAUAGGAUAAAAUAGAAAUAGAUUGUAGUCUAAAAUUCGGCUACAUAAAUAAGAAAUUGCUAGUAAUCGUGAAUUACUAUAACACGGUAAAUAUAACUUCGGAUUAGUACUAAUUACUUGUCGC